rnacentral:rRNA from 1 species
CCUACGGGAGGCAGCAGUGAGGAAUAUUGGUCAAUGGGCGCGAGCCUGAACCAGCCAAGUCGCGUGAGGGAAGACGGUCCUAUGGAUUGUAAACCUCUUUUGUCGGGGAGCAAAAGACGCCACGCGUGGCGUUCCGAGAGUACCCGAAGAAAAAGCAUCGGCUAACUCCGUGCCAGCAGCCGCGGUAAUACGGAGGAUGCGAGCGUUAUCCGGAUUUAUUGGGUUUAAAGGGUGCGCAGGCGGACGAUCAAGUCAGCGGUAAAAUUGAGGGGCUCAACCUCUUCGAGCCGUUGAAACUGGUAUUCUUGAGUGAGCGAGAAGUAUGCGGAAUGCGUGGUGUAGCGGUGAAAUGCAUAGAUAUCACGCAGAACUCCGAUUGCGAAGGCAGCAUACCGGCGCUCAACUGACGCUCAUGCACGAAAGUGUGGGUAUCGAACAGGAUUAGAUACCCCAGUAGUC